AGGUGAUGUAAUUCCCCUUGGGAGUGUAGCAUCAAGCAGAUGAAUUGGGCGCAUUGCAUCUGAUUCAGCCUCUUGAGGAGAAAGACUUCAUACUGAUCCAAAUAGACUCCCGAGAGGCAGAAAGAGGAAAAUGAUAAAUAAAUGCCAGCCAAGCUCUAAAAUGGAACACUCUAGCUGUGUGGCCACGGAGAAAGAACUGAUCAGAGAAGCCUGAGAUGCUCACCUUAAUAUGUGUUUCCUGGCCUGAAGGGCAAUUCCUACCUUGAGAGAGGGUUUUUCCUCUUCAUGGAUAACCUUCUUGCUGAGAAGACACUUCCUGGCUGGUUGAUUCUUCUGAGCGAUUGCCCAGUGCAGACUGGGACCAUCACUACUCCACCCCUGCCUCAUUCAGCCCCAUGAGGUCCACCUCAUCUCUGUGCAGAACCUUCCUCCUCUAUCUGAACCUAGUCUUGGAAUGGACUUCCACUGAAGUAAUCACCUAGAAACUGAGAAGCAGGAAAACAGUUGGACCUCACAAGUGACAUUUUUUGCUCCAUACCUUGACUCUGGGAAAAGUGUUAUGAAAGAGAAAACUGUGGAAGCAAGCAUGCCUGGACUAACUCUGGCCCUUACCAAGUGAUAACCUUGACCAAGUUGCAUAGACUCUCUGAGUCUCACAUCUACCAUCCAUAAAAUGGAGACAAUGAUACCUAUUACACAGAGUUGGGGUGAGGAUUCAGUGAAAUCUGUCUAUAAAUUGCCUAACACAGAGCUUAGUUUAGGAAUCGAAGUAAUUACACAGCAUUUGUAUGAACUUGCAUGACCUUGGGCAAGUCACUUUACCUGCCUUGGCCUUAAUUUUCUUUUUGAUACUAUUAACUCCUGCCCUGCUUUCUAGUCACUAGUUAUUCAUAAACAUGUCUCCUAUACUAAAAUGUAAGCAACUUGAGAAUAGAGAAAAUUUUAUUUUUUGUUUUUUGCAUAUGUGAAAUCUUUUUGCACAAGUGAAAAAGGGUCAUAGCACUUGUUGUGAUCCUUUGUUUCUGAUAUAAAUGAAUAUGCAUGAUUAUUUAAAUAUGCACAGCAAAAGACCUCAGAGAAGAAAAACAAACCCAAGAUGCCUGUGAUUCUUUAGACCCACAAUGUUUUAUAGGUGUUUUGGAGAGAACUAGGACUGGAAGAUCAGGUUUAACUUUAUUCCUGUGUGGUCUUGAAAAAAAUAAUUUGAGCUGGUAGUUAGUUCCCACUGUCAGUUGAAUGAAAUAAAUAAAUCUCACUUUACC